CGGAGCAACAAGUUGCAGGAGGCUGCUCUUUUAGUUUGCCUGAUGCCAGUGUGAAGGAAGCAGCUGGUGGAAGCUUCUGGAGAGUGGGCUGCCUUCUUGUGUGCCUCCCUCUCUGCACACACACAGGGGAGACAUGCAGCAGACCAGCUCCCUCCUUAGAUCAGGGACGUCGAGAUAAAAGAUUGGGAGCAACUUGAUGACAGAGAACAGGAAAAGGGUCGCAGCAUUAGGAAGGUUGAGAACCACUGAACUAGAGGAUUACGUUAACGAAUGGCGGCCGGCAAUCCAAUAUCUCAACAGAAAAAGUAAAGUUAAAUUACAUGUAAAAAUCCCCAUGGGGAACCUUAUAAGGCAGUAAGCAAAGAGAAACCUGAUUCUAACUUAGAACCUAUGAUGCUCUUUUAUGCCCUACUCGAACAGAAGUCAGAGGGUCCUUAAAUAAAGACAAUAUGUGAGAAAUGUUAAUGAAUUAUCAACAGCUUGAAAAUAUAACACAGUACGCAACAAACAUUUACAUUGUAUGCCUAUUUUAAUAAAUAUAUAUGAAUAAAUAUAUACAUAAUAAAAAUAAAAUAAGGUAAUAAUAAUAACAAAAGAAUUUAAGCAAUAUUAUAUUUUUAAAAAUCACUAUUGAGCUGAAGGACACUUUCUUCUCCAAGAAAUGAUCAGGUUCUUCCUCAAGACAGAUAUUAUUUUGUCCCACAUGUCUGAAACUAGCUUUUCCUCAGUAAUCCUGACAUUUUCCUUUAAUACUUUUUAAGCUGUGUUUCCAAACCAUGAUACCUCUUUUCUUUUUCUACUUCAAGCAGGACAUCCUCAGGCCUUGGUCUUUGCAGCGUCCUAUCAGCUCCUUGGCCAGCUGGUGCUGGAAGUCUCACGCCUGGCGCAUGGCAGCAUCCCGCUCCCGCUGGAGUGCCUUCUGGGUUUGGCACCGUUCAGCCUCCUUCCAGUGUAGCAGCUGCCGGAUAUCAGCCUCACGCUCCCGCAGUCCGGCCUCCUUCAGCUUGUGGAGCUCACAGGUCCUCUGCUGCUGAUACUUGGAGCGGAUCUUUUCGACCAGUAACUUUUGCUCCCUCUCUGCUUCCUCACGUAGCUCUCGGGCCUCCGGGGUAUAGUGGCGCCAGGCCUCCUGGGAGAAGAGACGCUCUUCCUCCACUUCUGCCCACAGGGCCUGCAGUUUCUGGCGGUGGUCUUUCUGGAAGGGGGCCGAGGAGGGAGGCCGAAGCGGGGAACGCAGCGAAGGACAGCCACCUCUCCCUCCUUUCGGUCCUCUGUGAGGGAGAAGCCAGGCGAGGCCUCAGGCAUUGGUGCCUUCCCACUUCUGACUGAAGGACCAUCUUAGUCAUGUUCUCGGGGGAAAAAAGA